UACGGAGGGUGCAAGCGUUAAUCGGAAUUACUGGGCGUAAAGGGCGCGUAGGCGGCCUGUCAAGUCAGUAGUGGAAGUCCAUCUUUCAAGGAUGGAAGUGCUACAGAAACUGAUGGGCUUGAGUGCAGGAGAGGUUAUCGGAAUUCCCGGUGUAGCGGUGAAAUGCGUAGAGAUCGGGAGGAACACCAGUGGCGAAGGCGGGUAACUGGACUGCAACUGACGCUGAGGCGCGAAAGUGUGGGGAGCAAACAGGAUUAGAUACCCCGGUA
rnacentral:rRNA from 1 species